CUGUGUUGCAUUAACAUUGGUCCCCCACGACGUGACGCUGGGUUCCGGCCUGGGGUUCUGGCUUUCCUCCCUGGCCCGUGAAUGCGGUGAAGUCCUCCGCUUUCUCUACAGAGCCGCAGUUCCAUCCCCUGGGUCAGCUGUUUACCCUGACUGGGCUACGGUAUCUGCCCUACUUCCCCCAACAAGGCGACAGGUAGUCCGGGCUGGGGCCGGAACUGAGUGGGCCGCGGCUUCCGCCUGAGGUGGCUGGGAAGGACCCGACAGCAGCCUGUUUCCCAGUCUCAAAAAAUCAUGCCUCUGAACUAGAGCUGCCUCAAAAGCGAGACCAGGCAUUAGAAGUGGAGUCUUUUGGCCAGUAUUGGGGUGUUCUGAAUUCAAGCGUAUGAGAGAGUGGACGGUGACGUUGAGAAUUUUUAUUUGAAGAUCUCGUCUCAACCACCCCAAGUAUAGUCAGAGGCGGCGUUUUGCCUGUGAAAAUGCCUUGAAACAGAGCAAGGACACCGUAGGUUAGACAUACGUGAAAUGAAAGUUUCUGACUUUAUCUAGGGUACAAAUUUGCAUCAGUAAGGCGCAGUCCCAUUUCUCGUUUGGAAUUCACAAGUGAAAUAUGGCCACUCGGACACCCGUACCUUUAUUUGACUUAAAAAGUGAGGUCAGCUAUUCUGACCGAAAGUAAAUCUGAAGAUUAAUUGGUUAAACAUACUAUCGUUGCUAAUUAGCAUAAUUAUUAUUUACAAUAAAGUGAGCUAAAUCUGUAGCUACGACUAAAAUAUAUUUAAAUUACUGUGAUAUUGUGAUGCUAAAGACGUGUUGAAAUUAAUAUGUUGAAUUUCUCAACCUUGCCUAAAUACCUCUGAGAGUAAUUAGUAUAAUUAAAAGUCACUAGAGAAAGUGAAUGAUUCUAAUAACAGGAUAACAGAUUCAAGUCAGAUGAUUUCCAGUUCUUUGUUUUCAACAAAAUUAAUGGUAGCUCUAUUUAAUUGUCAGCCGAGGAAGGAAUACUAUUUGGUUUUUGGCAUGCAACUCAGAAAGAAACCAAAGAAUUGGUUGACAUUCUUACAGCAAAACUACUAGCAUUCCCACCUAUUUGUUUAUGUAAAUUCAUUUCUCAGCACUUGUAUCUAUGAAAAAACAAUUGAAACUGAACCCUAUUAAUCUAGCAGUAGGAACUGUUCAUCCAGAUAAAUGAAUUAAUUGGUGGGACAGCCCCAUGUGUCUCACUAAGAGAUGUGUUCCCAAUAGAAUUUCACCUUUUAUAAUUGUGUAUUAUCGAUAUCUGUAAUUGUGUCAUUUUGAUCCACUAUUUACUAAAGAUUAUUGUGAUGAUUACUGACUUCAGAAGAAUUCCAGCAUAGAGCCAUAAAGUUACAGGAAAUUUUUUUUAAGUUUAAUACAUACAUUAUAUUUUUAUUGCAAAAAAGUGAUCAAUAAAAGGUUUUUUAAACAUCAAAGUAUUGCAUUUGAAUAACAUUUUAUAGUAGAGUACAACCUAAAUAUGUUAGAGAUAAUAAAAGAACAAUGUUGAAGA